rnacentral:rRNA from 1 species
AUUGAACGCUGGCGGCAUGCCUUACACAUGCAAGUCGAACGGCAGCACGGGAGCAAUCCUGGUGGCGAGUGGCGAACGGGUGAGUAAUAUAUCGGAACGUGCCCAGUCGUGGGGGAUAACGCAGCGAAAGCUGUGCUAAUACCGCAUACGAUCUACGAAUGAAAGCGGGGGAUCGCGAGACCUCGCGCGAUUGGAGCGGCCGAUAUCAGAUUAGCUAGUUGGUGGGGUAAAGGCCUACCAAGGCGACGAUCUGUAGCUGGUCUGAGAGGACGACCAGCCACACUGGAACUGAGACACGGUCCAGACUCCUACGGGAGGCAGCAGUGGGGAAUUUUGGACAAUGGGCGCAAGCCUGACCCAGCAAUGCCGCGUGCAGGAUGAAGGCCUUCGGGUUGUAAACUGCUUUUGUACGGAACGAAACGGUGAGCUCUAAUACAGUUUGCUAAUGACGGUACCGUAAGAAUAAGCACCGGCUAACUACGUGCCAGCCGCCGCCGUAAGAC